rnacentral:rRNA from 1 species
UACAGAGGGUGCAAGCGUUGUUCGGAAUUAUUGGGCGUAAAGGGCGCGUAGGCGGUGCCACAAGUCACCUGUGAAAUCUCCGGGCUUAACUCGGAGCCUGCAGGCGAAACUGUGGUGCUGGAGUGUGGGAGAGGUGCGUGGAAUUCCCGGUGUAGCGGUGAAAUGCGUAGAUAUCUGGAGGAACACCGGUGGCGAAGGCGGCAUCCUGGACCGACACUGACACUGAGGAGCGAAAGCCAGGGGAGCAAACGGG